ensembl:lncRNA
GCCUCACCCAGAGAGAGUGACAGAGCAGAGAAAUCAACUAUAAACAGUACGGCCUGAGUAAAUAUCAUAAAUAUAGGUUUAUUACUAAUCGUAGAUGGAUGAGUCAAUACGUGUUUCCUGCUAUACCCGCUAGCCCUUUCAAACUUAUGGAUAAGUCAAAAUACUCGGACCUGAACAGAGAAGUCUACGAUAUUUGGAAGUGACAUCAACAGGUCCAAACGUAGCGCCGGCCGGGUCGCAGGACGGACUGAUUCAGAAUUGAAUAGGAGGACGCCACAACCGUGCUCCUGGGCUUUCAAACGGUGACGCUCAGGAAAGGAUGCGACAAAGAGGCAGACAGGCGAGACAUGAAACACACUGGAGCCUGAUGAUAUGAUAUGGACCGGCAGAAGACAACUGAGGCCCGUAACUCAUCACCCCUCAGCCUGCUCUGACACCCUUUAUAGGGCCCAGCCCUGCUCACACACCAACCUGGAGCUCAUCUGCGUCUAUGGCUGUAUACUGUAUGUCUCUGUUAGCGUGUGUGUGUGUGUGUGUGUGUGUGUGUGUGAGUGUUUGUGUGCUUAUGAGUGUGUGCUCUACGGCUGUGUGUUGUGUGUUCUGUACAUAUCCAUGCCCAUGCAUGCACGACUCGCGCUCACUGGUGUGAGCGCGAGUACGUAUUAUGUGUGCGUAUGUGCCAGUGAUUAGAGGGUGGUUUCCUCUGUCUUGGUGUAGAUAGUGUCAUGUUGUAAAUCUGCCAUGGUCCUGAUGUCAGCGUAGGAGUGGGGGAAGAGGUGGAAAAUGAUGGAGGCUAGGUGGUGGUGGUAGCUGGGUCGAAAUGAUGGUUGUUAGGUGGGAGUGGCGGUAGCUGGACGGAGG